AAAUUGAAGAGUUUGAUCAUGGCUCAGAUUGAACGCUGGCGGCAGGCCUAACACAUGCAAGUCGAACGGUAGCACAGAGAGCUUGCUCUCGGGUGACGAGUGGCGGACGGGUGAGUAAUGUCUGGGAAACUGCCCGAUGGAGGGGGAUAACUACUGGAAACGGUAGCUAAUACCGCAUAACGUCGCAAGACCAAAGUGGGGGACCUUCGGGCCUCACACCAUCGGAUGUGCCCAGAUGGGAUUAGCUAGUAGGUGGGGUAACGGCUCACCUAGGCGACGAUCCCUAGCUGGUCUGAGAGGAUGACCAGCCACACUGGAACUGAGACACGGUCCAGACUCCUA
rnacentral:rRNA from 1 species